UACGUAGGGUGCAAGCGUUGUCCGGAAUUAUUGGGCGUAAAGAGCUCGUAGGCGGUUUGUCGCGUCUGCUGUGAAAAACGCGAGGCUCAACCUCGCGCCUGCAGUGGGUACGGGCAGACUGGAGUGCGGUAGGGGAGAUUGGAAUUCCUGGUGUAGCGGUGGAAUGCGCAGAUAUCAGGAGGAACACCGAUGGCGAAGGCAGAUCUCUGGGCCGUAACUGACGCUGAUGCACGAAAGCUAGGGGAGCAAACAGG
rnacentral:rRNA from 1 species